CAUGAAUAACAAUAACUAAAAAGAUAAUAGUUAUUAUAUAGAUUAUAACCAUAUGCUUAUUUAUUAUAAUCGAGUUAUUGUAAGUUAAACAAGAUAAAAUGUUAAGUUCCAGGUAAUAAGUCUUUUUGAUAUGUAUCUUAUGUAUAUCUUGUAUUUUGCAGCAUGUUAAAGAAUAUUUCUGCAUGGUGCACUCUGACCUGUUGACAAUAUUUGCAUACUGAUAUGAGUAAAAGUGACUUCAACAACCAGAAUUUAUUUUUGAUAAAUAUUAGUAAUAACAGAUUUUAAAGUUCUUGCAAAAGAUGGUUUUAUCUAUGAAAAUAUUGAAAUUAAAAUCAAUCUUGCUGUUAUCAUAUGUGAUGGACCAGUUAGAGCAUUUGUAAAGUGUAUUAAAGGACACAAUGGUUAUAACUGAUGUGAAUGUUGUGUUUUGAAAGGAGAGUGGUGUGGUAAGAUAAUUCUUCUACAUAUUUCACUAUUUUUAAGCACUGAUUCAUAUUUUUUGUCAUUAAAAGCAUUCUGAACACUUUAGUGGUGUGUUAAAUUGAAUUAAAUUUUGGCAAGGUGACAAAGUUUCCUUUAGUCUUUAUGCAUCUAGUAUGCUAGGGAUAAUGCGAAGAUUUGUCAACUUAUGGUUAAAUUGCCCAAAUGUUGUAAAUUGUCUUAGAUUACAGUCAAUAUUUUAUCUGGCGGAUUGUUCCAGAUUCAUCAUUACAUUCUAAGAAAUUUUUCUAGAAAA